rnacentral:lncRNA from 1 species
CCUUGGCAGAAGGUAAGCCAAGAUCAAUCUCUCACAAUAUUCCUUUGUCGUCGGUGUUCUUAUGAAACUUAUUGAUUGGACUUUCUCUGUUAUGUUUCACACAUUGCUACUUUUAGUUAUCCCCAUUGGCUUGCGGAUAUGCUCCUGCUGAGUUGUUCUUGUUUAUUUUCUCUAUCCAACAUCAUUGCAGGUUGGUGCUUCCUCUCCUUCUCACUGCAGCUACCUAUGCAUGUAUUAUUCUAGGAUUUUGCAAGUUAAAUACUCAUGUGUGCUGAACUGAAAAGUUCUCUAUGCAACAUCUAUUGCAGGUUGGUGUUUCUUACCUAUGCCUCUAUUAUUCUAGGAUUUUGAAAGUUAAUUGCUCAUGUGUGCUGAAUUGAAAAGCUCAAUGAAAGGCAUUUAUUUCUAUGCACAAAUGCUUUUGUUGCUAUAAGAAUCUGUAGAGAAGAAAUCAUUUAGCACUGCUGCCCCUGCUGUACAUAAUUAGAGGAAUAGUUUGGUUCAGUUAGAGGAAUUGGUGUUUUUGGAUAGUGAUGUUCGGGCCAAUUCUGGGCUGAUCAGUCCAUAAUUUCAAGAGUCUCCAAAUAUAAGUUGUAGUGUAGGUCUGAAGCUUUCCAAAGAGUAUUUGUUUGUGCUUUUUGGCCAGGCAGUUUCAGAGCAGCCAUCAAUUUAAUGUGCUGUCCAGGAAGUUAUUAUCCUGAGCGCAGUUUUUUCAUUUGCCAGUUUAGGGCCUGUUAGAGGUUGAAUUAAAAUAAACUUUCAACAUGAAAGUUGUAGAUAAGUUUCUGUAGAUGCUUAUACACAAAUAAUUUGUUCGAAUUCCUCUUCUAUAUCGAAUCCUAUAAAAAUAUUAAAGGAGGUUGUACUAUGUUGGACAGAAUUACAUUCUCAGCUUCAUCGGCGCAAGCUUCAUCACCAAGAGGACGGGCUCCGGAAGGCAGCCUCCUCCUAAGGCGCCAGGACCGGUAACUCCCGAAACGUCCAUCCUUCCUAACAUUAUUUUCUGGUGAUGCACCGUUAGGGUUCGUGUUCAUUGCCAUUUUGGAUUCAUAUGUGAAGUCUAUUGUUGUUAAUUACAGUUAAUUAAUUUCUUAAUUCAUGGUUGUUUUAGUUGCUAACCAUAUGAUUGGUAGCCUUGGACAGAAGAGGGCCAACAACAAACAGAAGGAACCACUAUCCUGUCCAGAACAUGUAUAUCUUCAGUUUUGGUUGCCCUCCGUUUACUUGCCAACAAGCGACAUUGGGUUCACAUAUUUACUGUUUGCUUUGUUAUAUACUUAAUCUGCUAGACAAAGUGUAAAAGGGAAAUUCAUGCUCGACAAUUUUGUAUAUUUAUAAACCUAGAUACUACUCUAAUUGGUUUUACUUCUUCCAUAUAGUUUCUCCUCCCAAUGUGUAUAAAUAGUGCACAAAGUUAAUUUCUUUUCCGUCUCCACCGCAUCUAAUUUUAAAGAAAAUAGAGAGGAAUCUGAGAGAUACACAACCAGAAGAAUUUUGUUUCUUUGACUUUUUGACCGUGUCUAACUUUUGGUAAAAGAGAGAUGAAUUUGAUAGAUAGACAACCUGAGGAGCUUUGAACAGCUUUGAACGUCCGAGUAUGCCGCCGGCCUCCUCGCCGCUGCUGUCGCGUGUCUGGCACCAGUGUGUGGCAGCUGCUAAGAUGUGCGCAGUUUACUCCCGGUUCCGUGAUGGUGUUGAAAAGCACCUUAACUGAGCCAAGGAAUUUAGUAGCUUUGUGGGAUGACUAAACAAAUUGUUUUGCUCUUCCUAUACUAUCUUCUCAUAUUAUAAUUUUGGUGUCCUGGUAUGCAGGGAUCAGCUUUGGUGGCAUCCGAUGCUGCCAGGCCACGGGGUUAGAGCAGAGGAAGCUGACAUGGUGUUCGACAUUCAGAUGAUCAUUGUGAUCGACCAGAUGCGGCGCCUCAUGUCACCCCGAGCCUCCAGGGCUUGUUAGCGGUGCUCAUAAAGUAAGAAUAUGCUUGCAAGUGCUCGUUUCCCAUAUGCUUGCCCAUUCCUGUCUCGCAUCAAGCUUUCAUUUAUUUCCCUAAAAUUCCUCUAAUUUGAUGUGUGCAUGUCUGAGAAAGAAAUAAGAGGAAUAAGCUAUGGUAUGUCUUGGGAAGUACAUUAUUUCCUUGGCUUGUGAAAUUAAUGCGCCCAAAUUCGCGUACAGUCUGGUUUCGGACUAACAAUGGCUCCCUGUGUUAUAUUGGAACAAAAAAAGGAGAUGGACAUAAUAAAGAAGCUUGGUGAACAAAUAUAUAUCUGAACCCUCUACACAGUAUAGAUGCUAUAAUUUCUGUUAAAUGGAAGUUAGAUUCAGAUUCUUAAAAAUAUUAUCCUUCAGUCCUAUACAUACAAGGUACUGUCUUGGCAUGGAUAUAGCCUGCAACCCGCAUCUCUAAACAACACGAACCUAUCCAUAAUCAUAAACUUGUGUAUUGAUCCUCCAUUCAGAUUUCUUAUUAGCUCGUUCUGGCCUGUGUGAAUUUUUUGUGUUUGCUUUACAAUGGCCAAAUGCAUUUCGGUCGAUAUAUAUGUGAUGCCAUUGGUUGGCCUGGAUCGGAUAGCUAGGUUUGAUCGAUUCGGUUAAUAUAUGUAUGUUUCUGUUUAGGUUUCCACACCUUUUGAUGCGUGUGCGUGCUGCCAUUGAGUAACUUGAUUUGUUUUCCUGGUUAUUCUAUGUGCAUUUCCAUGUAUAGGAUAGUCAUUUUGAUUCAGUUAAGAUAUGUUCAGAUUUCUGUUUAGAUUUCGGCACCUUUUAAAUGUGCUACCAUGGGGUAACCUGAUUCCAUUUUAAUGGCAACGGGACCUGCAAGUGCAUGGCCCACUGCUAAUAGUCCUAGAAGCGAUCGAAAUUGUUGCUAUUUUGACUUUGUCUGCUACAUGGAGUGCUAUUCUGAUCUCUAUGUUUUCCCAUUGCUUCAUUCAGUAUGUCCACGUAAAACCAGAAAUUACAUGCAUUUGAAUGAUGAUAGCUUAGCACUUGAUGAUAAAUGUGAUGUUGUUUUAUGUUAAUGUGAAACCCGAUCUAUCGGUUGUUAGUUUGAAUCAGUACCCAAGCCAUCCUCCUCACCGCCCUCCUCUCAGUUAUUUAGGUAGUUCUUCCUUCUUGGGUAACAAUGAGAAAACGAUUAGGUUGGUUACACAGUAUACUUCAUGAUUGCGGUAGGCACAAAAUGCUUGGCAGACUAAAAUAACUAUGCCUCAUUUCUAUUAUCAAGCUCUAAGUGUAUAUUGAGAUGCCUUUGUACAAUGAAAGAUCCAUGGGGUUGUUUGUUUGCUUGUAGAUUUUCGUGCAGAUAUUUGAAUUGUGCAAAUAUUUAAUUCCAUUUAUAAUUUGUUGUCUCUUGAUGUCGCUAAUUUUAUAUGAGCUGGAGGUGACCAUUAUCAUGUUCUUUCUAUUUUUUAUAGACAAUGUUUUCUUUCUAAUAUUUAGUUUUAUUCCAAGAUUAAUGAUGCUUUCACUCUGUUUUCAGAUUGACAAUUUCGCCGGGUUGCCGCCAUCAGGUGCCGCGCGCUGUGAUUCUAGAUCAGUAGUAGGUCGCGUCCAAGAGAGCUAGAGUGGCUGUUGCAGUGAGGGCAUCAGGGGAACCCAUCCUGCUCGACCCCCCACUCUUGGCGGCUAUCUGUAGAGGAGUAGAGAUCGAGGAUGGCUCCCAGUUCGUCGAGGAGACGCCCGACACGUAAGCUCUUUCUUCAUCGUUUCCUCAUAUUCCAUGGUGACCUGUGCUCAUCCCUCUAAUUCAUGACUACUUAUAUUUUUGUGUUCUUAUGCAGAUAGGGUUAGCGAGGAGGAGGCUUCCUUCCAUGACGAUGCGCAGAGGAGAAGACAAGAGGAUAUGUGCUGCUAGAUCUGACAUGGAGGUCUCUGUCCACUCCUUCCAUGCCAUGAACCUCCAACUGGUUCUUCUUUUCAGUAGGAUAUGCAGUCCAUACAGUCCAUGUUCUGGCCUCUUUUUGAUAUGUGCAUUACCGUGUUCUUCCUGUAGGUGCUAUUCAAUCCAUCAGUUGCUAGCGGCCUGCUGUGAUUAAGGUUUGCUCCCUUCCACUGCUAUAUCGCUUGGUUUUAUGGGCCAUUCUUAGAUCCCUUUGUUCUACAGGAGGCCGUGUUAUUUUGGUGUGCGAGAGAGAUCUUGCAGGCUGGCAGGUACGCCUCCAACUUUAUUGGUUCUAUAUAUGUUUGCUAUAUUGACUAUCUCCAAGUGGUUGUUGUUAUAUGUGUUUCCCGUCCGCAUGCUGGUUGUUUCCACUUGAUCUAUCUCUAGGUGGUUGAUGUUAUAUGUGUUUCUACUGUGCUAAAUUUCAGCAUUAUUACAGUAGCACAUAGGAUUUCUGUAUUAUUUGCAUUUACUCCUGCUAAGAACAUGUGUUUAAUUUUUGUCUUAUUUGCCCCAAUUUACUGCUGAUAAGAACAUGUACAAAAAAUCUUCUUUUACUGUUUCCUCUUGAUGUUGAGAACAGAUGCUUUGAACAUGAGCACGUGGGCAAUUUUGGAUUUGUCUGAAGAAGAGACAAAGAAAACAAUCUCAACAUGCUGGUUGUGCUAGGUGAGUUCCUCUUUGAUGACAUGUUGAUGUGUUGUAAAGUUAUCAUUGUUGACGACAGUGCCAUAUCUAAUCAUGCCGGAGUGUUUUGCCUUGCGAUGUUCAGCUUGUUCUUGUUUCUUAAAUUUUUUUGUUAGCUUACUUUGUUAAGUUCCUCUUAUGGCUGGUGGGAGGAUUAUUUAGCUGACCAAGUACAGUAUGAUGGUAAUAUCAAAUCUACGAUUAUUAAAGCAUCUUUUGUGUAGGUAUCGUAAACAGACUUAGCGCUGUAGUAUCUUUCAGAAUCAUUGUUAGGUUAAUGAUGUUGCAAGUUUCCCUUUGACAGAUUUCUCAAGCAUUGGCAAGGCUACGGUAACGGGGAGUGUCAGUAACUACAAUUAAUUCAUUUAUCCAUGGAAUUGGGAUAACAAAAAGGUAAAAUGGCAUGCAUGAUCACUCUUUUAGAAUGUAAAAAAAUCUUAACUGGAAUUUAAGAAAGUUGACACCGCAUCUCUGGUUCAUUCAACGAAUUUUUCUGCUCUUCAGUUUUAACUUUCUAUGACUGGUUGUGAUAGUGAAGGUCGAUAUUUUGAUCUCUAAUGGAAUUUUCAUCUUCUUGAUUUUCCUCUAUCUAUGUAGAGGUCUCAAGAAAGAGAAAAUAACUUGUGCUUCAAGCAGCAAGAAGAUAGCCAGCCUAAAUGAAUCAAAACAAGAACAAGCGUCGGGAAUUUACAAAUGAGGAAGUGUAGCUGGUAUGGCCUCUCUGUUUUACCCGAAAUCAACCAGAGGAAAAACUGCUGGACAAUCAUCUUCUUGCUAUUUAAUAGUUGACUUCCUGCCAUGAUUUGCUUCCUAAAAGAAAUAGCAGUCAACUUGAAAUAAGUAAUUUAUCUAGCUACAAAUGCUUAUUCUAGACUGAUUAUGUUUCUUCCAAUUGUGGACAGUGUUUUUUAGUUGACACUUUAGUCUACAUAUCUGCUAAAUAUUUACAUGUUUGCAUGGCCAGAAAAAAAAUAAGAUACUGUACUUAAGCAUUAGUGAUGGGUUAGUUAUUCUACUUCUUUCGGCUAAAUGUUUAGCAAGGACUGCAUGUUUGAAACAACUAACUCGCCUUGCUUUUGGUACAUUUUCCUUGUAUAUAACUCGCUUUUCUAUUUCUCGAGGACAAGAACACCAUAUAGAGAUUUGAGAGGUUGGCCUUGAUUUUAGAUACAAUGCGCCUGAUGGUUUAAAUUUAUUCUGCUCCUUACAUCAGGGUCUGUGGUACUUUCAGACUUGAGGGAAGAUUUUACUGUAUGAUAUAAAUUAAAUCAUUUGUUUCUACUACAUGUUAAAGGAGUUGGCCAAUGUGGGCAUGAAGCCAUAAAAGUUAGCUGGAUGUGGAGGAAUUUGAUAGUGGUGGUGAAUUGGCACCUUUUCCUUGCUUGCCAUCAUGCCAUGAUUUGAAAUUUAGUUGUCAGGCUACGUAAUUCACAUCGAGACCAGCGAAAGGAAUUCGUGCGCUAGCUCCAUCAUACAUUUGCGCCUCUAAACUUAGUUUGUUGACUAAAUUGUGUAGUUCCCUUUUGCCGUUCUCUACUCCUUUUGCAGUUUUAACCGUAAAAUAUGAUAUAUGAUAUAAUGGUUAUUUUGUACAUCAAGCAGGUGAUGUAAUUACUUUCAAUAGCGCUUCAGCUCUGCAAUCGACAGUUUGACCUCAUGCUAGGGCAGCCUCAGCCAGUUGUCUCUUCUAUUAAAGGUAAAGAACAGAAGCCUUUUUAUUGAUAUUGCUGUAUGGAAAGUUUACUGGAAAUUAUGAUUCUAAGUGGGGUGUGAAUAACAUGCUUUGUCUUGAAAUAAUGACAUAUGGAGAAACUAUAGUUUCCAUACUAAACUUGGUAUUUUGAUUCACACAAAGUUUCUGUCUACUGAUGAUUAAACUCAUACUUGCCAUAUGAAUAAAGUGACAUCAAAAGGAAAAUGAACAACAAAGAGAAUUAAGUAUGCCUUAUAAGCAUGUUUUCACUUAAGAUAGAUUUGAAUGACUUCACAAAUAUUCCUGUCAAUAUAGAUUGUAAAGUAGGAGUAGCCUAUACAGAUAGCUGCAGUUGUUGGCUGCACAUGACAACUUCAUGUUAUUCUGUGCUCACCAUAAUAAUCAUUUUUUUUGUUCCAUGUAAAGUGGCAUGCUUCUUUCUUACUAAUUGUCAAUUCUUUUGUAUAGGGUCCCUCAGCUACCUAUGCUUUGCUAGACAAUGAGGGUAUGUAGAUAGCAUGUAUGGUUUUUACAUUGUUUUGCGCAGGUUGAGAUGCAUCACAUGAUGUUUUCCUUUUACAUUUAUGGGUAUUACAGAACCCUUUCUUUUUCCACAAGGGG